ACUGGUGAGGAACACGUGGGUAAUCUACCCUUAAGAUGGGGAUAGCUGUUAGAAAUAGCAGGUAAUACCGAAUAGGCUCAGUGCUUCAUAAGAGGUGUUGAGGAAAGGGAGCUACGGCUCCGCUUGAGGAUGAGCUUGCGUCCCAUUAGCUAGUUGGUGAGGUAAAGGCCCACCAAGGCGACGAUGGGUAUCCGGCCUGAGAGGGUGAUCGGACACAUUGGGACUGAGAUACGGCCCAAACUCCUACGGGAGGCAGCAGCUAAGAAUAUUCCGCAAUGGACGAAAGUCUGACGGAGCGACGCCGCGUGGAUGAAGAAGGCUGAAAAGUUGUAAAAUCCUUUUGUUGAUGAAGAAUAAGGGGAAGAGGGAAUGCUUCUCUGAUGACGGUAAUCAGCGAAUAAGCCCCGGCUAAUUACGUGCCAGCAGCCGCGGUAACACGUAAGGGGCGAGCGUUGUUCGGAAUUAUUGGGCGUAAAGGGCAUGUAGGCGGCUAUGUAAGCCUGAUGUGAAAUCCUGGGGCUUAACCCUAGAAUAGCAUUGGGUACUGUGUAGCUUGAAUUACGGAAGGGAAACUGGAAUUCCAAGUGUAGGGGUGGAAUCUGUAGAUAUUUGGAAGAACACCGGUGGCGAAGGCGGGUUUCUGGCCGAUAAUUGACGCUGAGAUGCGAAAGUGUGGGGAUCGAACAGGAUUAGAUACCCUGGUAGUCCA
rnacentral:rRNA from 1 species